rnacentral:rRNA from 1 species
AUUGAACGCUGGCGGCGUGCCUAAUACAUGCAAGUCGAACGGAGUGGCGCACGGGUGAGUAAUAUAUAGCUAAUCUGCCCCUUGCUGGAGGAAAACAGUCAGAAAUGACUGCUAAUACUCCAUAGCAUGGGAUGAGCCGAUAUCGUAUCAUCUAGGCGGUGGGGUAACGGCCUACCGAGGCUAUGACGCGUAACUGGUCUGAGAGGAUGAUCAGUCACAUUGUAACGGAGACACGGUCCAGACUCCUUCGGGAGGGAGCAGUAGGGAAUAUUGCGCAAUGGGGGAAACCCUGACGCAGCUACGCCGCGUGGAGGAUGACACUUUUCGGGGAGUAAACUCAUUUUGUUAGGGAAGCGGUACCUGACGAAUAAGCACCGGCUAACUCCGUGCCAGCCGCCGCGGUAAUAC